GCUGGGUGUGGUGGCACACGCCUGUGGUCCUAGCUACUUGGGAGGAUGAGGUGGGAGGAUUGCUUGAGCCCAGGAGGUCAGGACUGCAGUGGGCUAUGAUUGUGCUACUGCACUCCAGCCUGGGUGCCAGAGCAAGACCCCUUCUCAA
rnacentral:sRNA from 1 species